UACAGAGGGGGCAAGCGUUGUUCGGAAUUACUGGGCGUAAAGGGCGCGUAGGCGGCCUGCUAAGUCGAACGUGAAAUCCCUGGGCUCAACCCAGGAACUGCGUCCGAUACUGGUUGGCUUGAAUCCGGGAGAGGGAUGUGGAAUUCCAGGUGUAGCGGUGAAAUGCGUAGAUAUCUGGAGGAACACCGGUGGCGAAGGCGACAUCCUGGACCGGCAUUGACGCUGAGGCGCGAAAGCGUGGGGAGCGAACAGG
rnacentral:rRNA from 1 species